UCCCCAAGGUGAACAGCCUCUGUCCAAUAUGAAAAAUGCAGGUAAGGGAAGUCGGCAAAUUAGACCCGUAACUUUGGGAAAAGGGUUGGCUCUAGUGCUGCGUGGGAGUGGUUGUUGUAUUUUGGCUGCCUCAGCUGGGCACUUUGUUGCGGAGAGCCUUGUGUUUUCUGUGACAUCGAGUCUGGCCGGAGUAGCUGAGUGCGACGACGCCCACAGCAUGCAGCAGACUAGAACUGCAACGGGCAAAGGGAAUCCGACUGUUUAAUUAAAACAAAGCAUUGCGACGGCCGUGGCCGGUGAUGACGCAAU
rnacentral:rRNA from 1 species